UCAAGUUAUUAAGGGUGCAGGGCGGAUGCCUUGGCACUAGGAGCCGAUGAAGGACGUGAUAAGCUGCGAUAAGCUUCGGGGAGUUGCACGUAAACUUUGAUCCGAAGAUUUCCGAAUGAGGAAACUCACUUAGAGUAAUGUCUAAGUAUCAUUAAGUGAAUACAUAGCUUAAUGAGGGGAACUCAGGGAACUGAAACAUCUAAGUACCUGAAGGAAGAGAAAGAAAUUCGAUUCCGUAAGUAGCGGCGAGCGAACGCGGAUUAGCCCAAACCAAUAAAGUUUUCUUUAUUGGGGUUGCGGACAUAUCAUAACGAAGAGGUAUCGUAAUUGAAGAGGUUUGGAAAGACCCACCACAGAAGGUAAUAGUCCUGUAUGUUAAACGAGAAGACUUCAGAUAUGAUCCAGAGUACCACGGGACACGUGAAACCCUGUGGGAAGCAGGAGGGACCACCCUCCAAGGCUAAAUACUACCUAGUGACCGAUAGCGUAUAGUACCGUGAGGGAAAGGUGAAAAGAACCCCGGGAGGGGAGUGAAAUAGAACCUGAAACCCUGCACUUACAAGCUGUGGAAGCACAUUUCUUGUGUGACCGCGUACUUUUUGUAGAACGGGCCAACGAGUUACGUUAAGUAGCAAGGUUAAGCACUUAAGGUGUGGAGCCGUAGCGAAAGCGAGUUUUAACUGAGCGUUCAGUUACUUGACGUAGACCCGAAACCGGGCGACCUACCCAUGAGCAGGAUGAAGCGAAAGUAAAAUUUCGUGGAGGUCCGAACCCACGAGCGUUGAAAAGCUCGGGGAUGACUUGUGGGUAGCGGUGAAAUUCCAAUCGAGCCCGGAGAUAGCUGGUUCUCCCCGAAAUAGCUUUAGGGCUAGCCUCAAGGUGAGAGAUACGGAGGUAGAGCACUGAAUGUCCUAGGGGGUAUUGCACCUACCGAAGACUAUCAAACUCCGAAUGCCGUCAUCUUAUACUUGGGAGUCAGACUGUGGGUGAUAAGAUUCAUAGUCGAAAGGGCAACAGCCCAGAUCGUCAGCUAAGGUCCCUAAAUGUAAGUUAAGUGGUAAAGGAUGUGGGAUUGCACAGACAACCAGGAUGUUGGCUUAGAAGCAGCCACUCAUUCAAAGAGUGCGUAAUAGCUCACUGGUCGAGUGAUCCUGCGCCGAAGAUUUCCGGGGCUAAAACUUACUACCGAAGCUACGGCAUCAGUAAUGAUGGGUAGGGGAGCUUCCCAUACGGGUUGAAGCAUGACCGUAAGGACAUGUGGACAGUAUGGGAGUGAGAAUGUUGGCAUGAGUAGCGAGAUGUGGGUGAGAAUCCCACAGGCCGUAAACCCAAGGUUUCCAGGGGAAGGUUCGUCCGCCCUGGGUUAGUCGGGACCUAAGCUGAGGCCGAAAGGCGUAGGUGAUGGACAACAGGUUGAUAUUCCUGUACUACCGAUAACCAUUUGAGAGAAGGGAUGACACAGUAGGAUAAGCUAAGCACACUGUUGGUUAUGUGUGCCCAAGCAUUGAGGCAGUCAAAGUAGGCAAAUCCGCUUUGAUAAUGCUGGGAUGUGAUGGGGAGCGAAAUUUAGUAGCGAAGUAGCUGAUUUCACACUGUCAAGAAAAGUCUCUAUCGAGGUUAAAGGUACCCGUACCGCAAACCGACACAGGUGGGUGAGGAGAGUAUCCUAAGGCCAGCGAGAGAACUGUUGUUAAGGAACUCGGCAAAAUGACCCCGUAACUUAGGGAUAAGGGGUGCCACCAUCAGGUGGCCGCAGAGAAUAGGCCCAAGCGACUGUUUACCAAAAACAUAGGUUUCUGCUAAGUCGCAAGACGAUGUAUAGGAGCUGACGCCUGCCCGGUGCUGGAAGGUUAAGGGGAUCUGUUAGAGCAAUCGAAGCAGUGAACUUAAGCCCCAGUAAACGGCGGCCGUAACUAUAACGGUCCUAAGGUAGCGAAAUUCCUUGUCGGGUAAGUUCCGACCCGCACGAAAGGCGUAACGAUUUGGGCACUGUCUCAACAACAGACUCGGUGAAAUUGUAAUUCCGGUGAAGAUGCCGGAUACCUGCGACAGGACGGAAAGACCCCAUGGAGCUUUACUGUAGCUUGACAUUGGGUCUUGGUACUACAUGUACAGGAUAGGUGGGAGGCUUUGAAACCAGGACGCCAGUUUUGGCGGAGCCAUCCUUGGGAUACCACCCUUGUAGUACUGGGACUCUAACCAUAGGCCAUGAAUCUGGUCUUGGGACACUGUCAGGUGGGCAGUUUGACUGGGGCGGUCGCCUCCCAAAAGGUAACGGAGGCGCUCAAAGGUUCUCUCAGUACGGUCGGAAAUCGUACGUAGAGUGUAAAGGCAAAAGAGAGCUUGAUUGCAAGACAUACAGGUCGAGCAAGGAUGAAAAUCGGACUUAGUGAUCCGGUGGUUCUGCGUGGAAGGGCCAUCGCUCAACGGAUAAAAGCUACCCUGGGGAUAACAGGCUUAUCUCCCCCAAGAGUCCACAUCGACGGGGAGGUUUGGCACCUCGAUGUCGGCUCAUCACAUCCUGGGGCUGUAGUAGGUCCCAAGGGUUGGGCUGUUCGCCCAUUAAAGUGGUACGCGAGCUGGGUUCAGAACGUCGUGAGACAGUUCGGUCCCUAUCCGUCGCAGGCGUAGGAAAUUUGAGAAGACCUGUCCUUAGUACGAGAGGACCGGGAUGGACGUACCUCUGGUGUACCAGUUGUUCUGCCAAGGGCAUGGCUGGGUAGCUAUGUACGGAAUGGAUAAGCGCUGAAAGCAUCUAAGCGCGAAGCCAACUUCAAGAUAAGAUUUCCCACCGCAAGGGUAAGACCCCAGAAAGACUAUCUGGUUGAUAGGUCGAAGGUGUAAGUGCAGCAAUGUAUUUAGCUUAUCGAUACUAAUAGGUCGAGGACUUGACCAA
rnacentral:rRNA from 1 species